GGAAGUAGAAGUCGUAACAAGGUUUCCGUAGGUGAACCUGCGGAAGGAUCAUUAUUGUAUAACCGAGGUGCGAGGGCUGUCGCUGACCCGAAAGGUCGUGCACGCCCGAGUGCCCUCACACACAUCCAUCUCACCCCUAUGUGCACCACCGCGUGGGUCCCCCUUUGGCUUGUUCGGAGGGGGGCUUACGUUUUCACACAAAGUUUGUAUGCAGUGUAGAAUGUAUUUUUUGUUUUUGCGAUCACGCAAUCAAUACAACUUUCAACAACGGAUCUCUUGGCUCUC
rnacentral:misc_RNA from 1 species